UUGAAACCGGAAGUGUUGAUAUGGACUGAAGCUUUCCCCCCCUACCUUUAGAGUGCUGCAACUCUAUGGUUCCCGGCAUUUCUUAGAGGCAACUUCCGACCUGUAGGAGGGGUUUCUUUCCCCCUGCCUUCCAUCAAACUCUUGCAGGAUGGUUUGCACAGGAGCUUAUGACGGUGGGGGAAGUUGCAAUAUAAAGUGACCGAGAGUGUGAAGCGCUCUCAGGAUAGCAGUAUCAUGUCCCAAAACCAGCAGGAUCUGCAAGGUCUGAGUCGACUUGAAUACCUACAAGCCCUCGUUACUGAAUUCCAAGUAACCAAAAGUUCUGAAGCCAAGGAGCAAGUACUAGCUAAUUUAGCUAAUUUUGCUUAUGAUCCGAAGAACUAUGACUAUCUCCGGCAGCUCAAGGUCUUGGACCUGUUCCUGGAUAUGCUCACAGAGGAUAACGACACCCUUGUGGAAUUUGCACUUGGUGGCCUUUGUAACUUAUGCUUGGACAAAAUCAACAAAGACUACCUCUUGGAGGCUGAUGGGGUAGCAGCUGUGAUCAACUGCCUGUCACGUUCAAAUGAGGAGACUGUGAUGUCUGCGGUCACCACUCUGAUGUACCUGACCACACCCCAGUCUCGCCAGCAGAUCACUGCUCUUCCUGUAGUGGAGUGCAUGCUGCGUUUCUCUCUCUCUGCCAACAGGAGGUUGUCCAACCUGGCAACUAUCUUCCUUGAAGACUACUGCAGCCCUCUGCAAGUAGAGGAGGCCAGGAAUCUUACCAAACACACAGCUUUAGGGAUCCCCUUGCCAAAGAAUUAAUGCAUCAGCAAGGCCUUUCUUCUUUGAAAAGUGGCUCAUCUUCCUGCCAGUAUACCAGAGGAAAUCAUUACAGGAAUUCUGACCUUGCAAAUAAUUGUUACACAUUUGAGACCUUUAUUUCGGACUGACUGGUCUCAUUUAAGGAGUAAUGGGACAUUUGAAAUUUGACUAUUCAACCAUAAGGAGUCUCAAAGUGGCUUACAAACUCUUUCCCUUCCUCUCCUCACAACAGACACAUUGUGAGGUAGGUGGGGCUGAGAAAAUUCAUGGAGAACUGUGACUAGCUCAAGGUUACCCAGCAGGCUUCAUGUGCAGAAGUGGGGAAACAAAUCCGGUUCACCAGACUGCAGCAGAGCUCAUCUGAAAUGCAUUUUGUAAGCUUGCAAUUAUACACCAUUGCUUUUGCCAACAGAAACACAGAGUUGGAAGGGACCUCAAGAGUCAUCUAGUCCAAUUUCCUGCUCAAUGCAGGAAAUUCACCCCUGUACUAUGACCCCUGCACUGUGGCCUGAGAAAGGCAAAAAACCUCCAGGAUCUUUGGCAUGGAGGAAAAUUCCUUCCUGACCCUAAAGUGGCAAUCGGCAUUACCCUGGGCAUGUAAGAAAGGGUCAUGAGCACCAAACACUGACGCAUUCCUUCCUGCCGUCCCUCUCAUUAUCUGCCUCACAGAAUCAGCAAUGCUGUCAGAUGGCCUCUACUUAAAAGCCUCCAAACAGAGGCCUCCUUAUAAUAAACAGCACUUGGGGUAAGCAGUGAAACUGUGCCCCCUCUCCAUGGUAUGGCUGCUGGUACCCCUCCCCCCAUUUAACACUUUUUCUCUUCUAUCUCCCACUGUCCACAACCAUUGGAAUCCAGGUCUCUCUGAGAGAGAAGCGACAGAGAGGGUGAUAUACUUUUUCCUUUCUCUCCCUCUCUUCCCUCCCUCUUUUUCCCCUCCUCUUUUUCCCCCCAUGUUCUGAGAUCAGACAUCUUGCCAGCAGCCCGCAGGACAGCUACAUGAAGGGCGGCGCGACCCUUUCCCUCGGAGCCCCUCAUUUACUUUUAUGGAGAAAUUGCCUUUUUAACUUUAAUUUUUCUCCCAACUUGUUUGUAGCUGUUUUAGCUAAAGGUCACACCCGAGCUGUGAAUUAUUUCCUUCCUAGUUAGGAUUUCAACAACCCCUUUCAAGUAUUUGCACCUGAUAGCAACAAUGACUUUGCACCAAACUGUUUUGUUAAUUAGGGUUAGCGUGUGAUCGGUCUGUUUAUGCCACCUGACCAGCAGUUUUGUAUAACUGCCCAACAUUCAGAGAAGCACUUCUACAUCUACUUCCACUCUCAUUUUUAUUAUUCUCUUGACUCAUCUGAGCAUAACCUUUUCUUUUUCAGCCUGCUAUCUUAGGCAAUUUGAAGCUGUUAGCCUCUGCCAGCCAGUUCUUAUCAGCAAUACUUUUUCGUCUCUUGCUUUGCUUGCUUUUUGUUUUGAAGCUAUGCUACCAAUGUUUUAUGUCGUUAUUUUAAUCUUUAGCUAUUUUUUCCUGUUAUUUUGUUUAUUGAGCAUGUGCUGUACUCAAUAAACCUUAAAAAUAUUUUAUUCAAUUUUUUAGCCUCUGAGUCUUGUGUGCACCCCAAAUCCUGACUCACGUUUGAGAAGUGGCUAGUCAGCACAUUCUCUACAACUUUUCUCUGGCUUCUGCCAAUUACUUUCUGGCAAACUCACUUUGCUUGGGGCACUGUGGCAGCCGUUGGCCUGCUCUGGUAACUUCACUGGGGAGCCAGCCAGGGGCAGGAGGGGAAGGCGGCACCCAAAGCUGUGCCUCAGCAUCAGUCCCCUCUUCAGCCUGGCCUGCAUCUUCUCUCACUUCCACCUUCCUGGCCUGUGCGGGGUGGGGGGGGGGGAGCCAUGACAUGCACAAGUGGUACCUAGGUCCCACAAUCCUCCCUUAGAUCCGCAUCUGCCACCAAAGAAAGCGAGCUCAUCACCUUGCAAGGAAGCUUGUUCCACUGAGGAACCACUCUAUCAAGAAAUCAUUCCAAACUUUAGUCGAAAACUGUUUUAUUUUGAACCAUUUGAUUCAGAUCUGACCUUCUGGGGCUACAGAAAACAGCUCCAACUAUUAUCCAUAUGACAGCCCUUCCUGUUAUCUGACUCCCUGUACAGAUCCUGGUGACUCCCUACAGAAUCUUUUUAGUGAAAUAAAUUCUUCACUUCGAACCAGAGUUGGAUCCUAAGAAGUGUAUGCAGGUGGUGGUCAUCUUUGUCACCUCCCUGUUCCCAAGGUAGUCCUCCCACCAAGGCCUCCCCAAAGCUGAUGCUGAAGGUUGUGGGGUCCAUCUGGACAAAAAGGCACAUAAGCCUUGUGGCUGACCAACAAUCAUUCCCACUUCAGUCUUGUGGCAACAAAAGUACCACUAUUCAAAAAGGACUAUGGGGCUGAUUUUGACCAGUUCCUCAGGUUGGGUGGCUUUCUGUUCACAUAAGUUUUAGGAAAUUCCUGGGAAAAUGAGAAGGUGGGAAAGACAUGUGACUUCAUAGAAUCAAACCCAUAUUUCUUUUCCCCUGUGGUCUCUUUUCUGAGGAAAAAAACUUUGAAAAGUCCCAAGAGGUAACAGUAAACAGGUCAUGAAGACAUGAGAAUACAUAAAGAGAUACAGUGUGAUCUGCAUUAAUUUUUUUGCCAUCAAGUCACAGCUGGUUUAUGGCAAUCCUAUGGGGUUUUCUAGGUAAGAGACAUUCAGAGGUGGUUUGCCAUUGCCUCCCUCUGUGUCAUAACCCUGGUAUUCCUUGAUCUGCAUAGAAAUGUAACAAUCUCUGUUGUUUUUUUAAAGUUUCUUGGUCUAUUGGCUCUACCGUUUUUAAUAAAGUAGAGGUAAAGA